rnacentral:pre_miRNA from 1 species
UCUUAUAGAGGAGCAAAGAAAGUGGUCUUUUGAGAUGGAAACUACUCCUAGUGAAGAUGCUGUGAA